rnacentral:rRNA from 1 species
UACGGAGGGUGCAAGCGUUAAUCGGAAUUACUGGGCGUAAAGCGCGCGUAGGCGGCUAAGUAAGUCGGGUGUGAAAGCCCCGGGCUCAACCUGGGAACUGCAUCCGAUACUGUUUGGCUAGAGUAUGAGAGAGGGAGGUAGAAUUCCACGUGUAGCGGUGAAAUGCGUAGAUAUGUGGAGGAAUACCGGUGGCGAAGGCGGCCUCCUGGCUUAAUACUGACGCCGAGGUGCGAAAGCGUGGGGAGCAAACAGG